GUGCUCAAUUUCAGCAGCACGUGCAGUAAAGUUGGAACAGUAUAGAGACAAUUAGCUCAGCCCCUAUGCGAAAAUGACAUGUAAAUUCAUGACAUGUUCCAUAUGCUC